AUUGAACGCUGGCGGCAGGCCUAACACAUGCAAGUCGAACGAGUGGCGGACGGGUGAGUAAUGUCUGGGAAACUGCCUGAUGGAGGGGGAUAACUACUGGAAACGGUAGCUAAUACCGCAUACCAUCAGAUGUGCCCAGAUGGGAUUAGCUUGUUGGUGGGGUAACGGGUCACCAAGGCGACGAUCCCUAUCUGGUCUGAGAGGAUGACCAGCCAAACUGGAACUGUGACACGGGCCAGAUUCGUACGGGAGUCAGCAGGGGGGAAUAUUGCCAAAAGGGCGCAAGCCUGAUGCAGCCAAGCAGCGUGUAUGAAGAAGGCCUUCGGGUUGUAAAGUACUUUCAGCGGGGAGGCGUUACCCGCAGAAGAAGCACCGGCUAACUCCGUGCCAGAAGCCGCGGUAAUUC
rnacentral:rRNA from 1 species